GUAGGUGGCAAGCGUUGUCCGGAAUUAUUGGGCGUAAAGCGCGCGCAGGCGGUUCUUUAAGUCUGAUGUGAAAGCCCACGGCUCAACCGUGGAGGGUCAUUGGAAACUGGAGAGCUUGAGUACAGAAGAGGAAAGCGGAAUUCCACGUGUAGCGGUGAAAUGCGUAGAGAUGUAGAGGAACACCAGUGGCGAAGGCGGCUUUCUGGUCUGUAACUGACGCUGAGGCGCGAAAGCGUGGGGAGCAAACAGGAUUAGAUACCCUGGUAGUCCACGCCGUAAACGAUGAGUGCUAAGUGUUAGGGGGGUUUUCCGCCCCCCUUAGUGCUGCAGCUAACGCAUUAAGCACUCCGCCCUGGGAGUACGGCCGCAAGGCUG
rnacentral:rRNA from 1 species